rnacentral:tRNA from 2 species
GCCCCUAUAGCUUAAUGGACAAAGCCGCGGCCUUCUAAGCCGUUGAUCCAGGUUCGAGUCCUGGUAGGGGCA